AGCAUGGAUGAGCUUUUGGACUACUGAGGGAAAGCUGAAUGGUAGUGAGCUUUUUAUUUUUUUAUUUAAACAGUUUUUUUGGUUGCACCUAUGGCAGGAGGAAGUUCCCAGGCCAGGGCUCAAACCCACGCCACAGCAGUGACAAGGGCCAGAUCCUUAACCACUAGCCCGUCAGGGAAUUCUGGGAGUGAUCAUUUUCAAUGAAGAGUUAAGCAAAUCCAAUUUCAAGGCAAAGAGGUACCUUCCUAAGGGCAGGUUUUUACAGCACAGAGCAUCCAGCUGAGUGUUGUGUCCGGUGUUGUGGACAAGGGUGUCCUGCCCUGGAGAAGCCAGCCUGGGCCCAGGACAGCACACACUCUAGUGUCUGAGGAAUGAGAGAAUGAGGACCUAUGUAUCAGGUGCUAAUUGCAGAUCAGCCUGGAAGUGAGAGAGAAGUUGGGGUGAGAAGGGAGAGACAUGAGGUUUGUCUUAUUUUUUGAGCAAAGCACUAAUAAGACGCUGAGGAUCAAUUGUGGGUUCUGAGUGGGUAGAAAAGGGGCAGCUGGGCUUUGAUCUGGGCAAGGGUCAGGAUCGGGGGUGGGUAUCUUGCUCCGCUCAGGCGGCCAAAACAAAGCACCACAGACCAAGUGGCUGAAUGACAGACAGACAUUGUCUCACAGCUCUGGCGGCUGGGAGUCUGAGGUCACGCCGUCAGCAGGGUUGGUCCCUCCAGAGGCCUCUCUCCUUCUGUCUCCUGCUCUCUGUGUCUUUCCUUCGCCUCCUCCCUGUGUCUUUACGUGGUCUCCUCUCUCUCUGCGUGUCUGUGUCCCAGUCUCCUCUUAUAAGGACACCAGUUGAUUGGAUCAAGGCCCAGCCUGAUGAUUUUUUCCCCCAAACUUAAUCCCCUCUCCAGCAGUUCCCAUUGUGGUUUAGUGGGUUAAGAACCCAACUAGUAUCCAUGAGGAUGCAGGUUCCAUCCCUGGCCUGGAUCAGUGGGUUGAAGGAUUGGGCGUUGCCGCAAGCCUUGGCGUUAAGUCACAGAUACGGCUUGGAUCUGGCAGUUGCUGUGGCUGUGGCGUAGGCCUGCGGCUAUGGCCCCAAUUCCACCCCUAGCCUAGGAAUUUCCAUGUGCUGCAGGUGCGGCCCUAAAAAGACAAAAAGAAGACCCUAUCUCCAAAUACAGUCACAUUCUGAGGUCCUGGGGGUUAGGACUUCAACAUAGAGAUUUUAGGGGGGAGGAGGGCACAUAUAACAGGGGGAAAUGAUAUUGUGGCCAUCAGAUAAUGGAGUAAAACCCCAGAAAGGGAACUAAAGGUGACUAAGGGACACCGAGCGACUCACGGGCACAGAGAGGUCCUUCCCCUGUCGGGCUCCCAGACGCAGGCGCUGGUGACCCCAGACAUUGAGCUGACAGCGUAUGUCCUGCUUUGCCAGAUCACAGUGUGCCUGGAACCCAUGCAGUUCUCAGGGCCAUGUCUUAGAGUCCUGUCCCCAUGGGGAAGGUGUCUUGAAUAAUGGAAUGUAAAGAUCACAGAAGCUGAAGAAAUGCCAUGGCCCAGUAAGAAGGCCUCCGGCUACUUCAGACGCUUCAGAUCACAGUCCCUGGGAAAUUAGUAGGAUGCUUCUCUUUCCCUCGGUGGGUUCAGGAUCUGAAUGCCAGGGUGAGGGUGGGGUGGCUCCAGUGUCCUUAUGUUCCAUAACUUUCUGUAAAUAAGUGCUCCCAAUUCAGUUGUGAACUUGCUCUGUUAAAUUAGGCACAAGUUUCCUAUGCAAGUUCAUUUCCUUUACCCACUGGGGACCUCAUAGGCUCCCUCAGCACAAACCUCCCCUUGGACUUCUGGUGCCCAUUGCUGGGGACUUCAGGUGUUCUCACUCACCGCAGCCUGAUGCCCACAGGGAAGCUGUGCUCUCCCCUCCAACCCACCCCCAUCUGCUUUUCCAGAGUCACAAACGGCAUCCUCACAGCCACUCAGCUCUAUAAUGGGAGUUGUCUUCCUUCCUCCACUUUUCCUCUCCUUUGUAUUUAGGGUGUUAUCCAGUGUCAUCAUUUUGUCUUUAUUGCCAUUUGUCAGAGCUCUGCAUAUCCACUCCCCCCCAAUGUGUCCUGUACACAGCAGCUUGCCCAAUAUUUUAAAAAUGGCAUUGUCACUUUGCUUCACUGCCUUGCUUCAAUAUUCUAAUUUAAAGGCAAAGGAUAGAGUUAGAAAGUAUUGGGAGCACAGCAAGGCCCACUGGACUUAAACUCCAAAGACCCCGGUUUGAAUCCCAGCUUUGCCCCUUACCUGUCAUGUGACUCUGUCCUCUUAUUCUUUAAAAUAAUGUAAGUGAAGGGGCGUUGAAAACGUUAAGGUACCACACAAAUACUACAAAAUAUAAUUAUCCUGUAGGACCAUCUCAAGUACAACCACUUCUUAACAACUAAUUAAAAGCUGGCCUUUUCUUUUCCUGAGCUUUCAUAAAUAAUCCUUUCAGGACAAUUGCUUGUAUUCCGAUUUGCCGUUUGCAUUGCAUGGUGCGCCCCCUGCUGUUCUUUUCCGGUUUCACACCUUGCCUGUCCAGGGGGAUUGCAAACCGCUUGACGGGAGCACUAAUUGUCUCUCCUAUUCCUCUCGAGCUGAGAGCCCUGUGAAGUCAACCAAUCCCACGUACACUGACUGAGCACCAGAUAUUUGAUUCACACAAGGCACAUAUUAGUAGGCAAGAGCGUCAAUGGACUGUAAUAAAAAUCCCUGCACUCAAACAGCUCAUAGUCUGUCUUUGAAAAAUGAGCUACAAGAACAGAAAAGGAUGUGGAAAAUUAUUACAAUGUUACCAAAAGAUAUGUGGGUGUUUAAGGGUGAUGGAGCCCCUCCAGCUGGGAUAGUGGGGAAGGCUUGGCGGAAAGGGAAGACUGGAGCUGGGUCUUGGAAGGUGGGUGAGGUCUGGAUAGAUGGAGAUGGGGGAAGGCGGGUUACAGUGAACAGGCCAGGUGACCUGGAGCAGAGGAGGUUUUGCAAAAGAGGGUGGUUGGAGACGGGGUUGGACUGGCUGGCUGGGUGAGAUAGGGGCAGGCUGGAAGGGUGGCCUCACAGAUUUGUGCUCUAACUUGGCAAUCAGAAAAUGUGGAGAGUUUUUGCCUAGGAGGGUGAUAGGCUCCAGGCAGUCUUCUGGGCAUGUUAAGCUAGGGCUGGUGCUCAGUAUCGAUUGAUAGGAGAAAGCAGGAGAGUAUGUGUGGGGGCACCUCUGUCUCUCUGUGGCUGGUCCUAUGAGGGUGACUCCAGCUUACAGAUCCCACUAAGAAACAGACAUGCAAAUAGUCAAGCAACUGCACUGAAGGCUUUCUUCUUUUUUUUUCUUUACUUUUUUUUUUUUUUUAGCAAAUAGUGUCACAUGAAAAUCUCCUAAUCUUUUGACAUUUCCCGUUUCUAUAUCAACUCCCAUUUCUCCUUUCCUGCUACCAACCGCGGCCUGAUAGCAAGUCACAGUCUGAGCCUGGGCCUCUUAGAGAAGGGGCCCUUCUUCCUCCCUCUCCCCUAAGUUUACAGAAUGCCAUUUCAGGAAAUUGUAUUGUUGUUCACACAAGAUGACUAUCUUCCCAAAGCUUUUUCGUGGUUUCAGGAGAGGAGGCUAUAAAACAGGUACGUGUACGUGUAUAUAUGUGUGAAUAUAUAUACACAUACACACACACAUAUAUAUUUACACAUGUAUUUUAUAUAUAUAGUAUAUAUGUAAAUAUAGAAACAUUUAUAUACAUAUAGUUUUUUGAGAAUGAAAAUUCUUUCCUGUUUUGCAAAGUAAAAUAAUGGAUCUCUUAAGUUUUCUUCAUCAAUUAAAAGACAUCUCCUGGAGCUCCCGUCGCGGCGCAGUGGUUAACGAAUCUGACUAGGAACCAUGAGGUUGCGGGUUUGGUCCCUGCCCUUGCUCAGUGGGUUGAUGAUCUGGCGUUGCCGUGAGCUGUGGGGUAGGUUGCAGACGCGGCUCGGAUCCCGUGUUGCUGUGUCUCUGGCGUAGGCCGGUGGCUACAGCUCCGAUUCGACCCCUAGCCUGGGAACCUCCAUAUGCCGAGGGAGCGGCCCAAAGAAAUAG
rnacentral:lncRNA from 1 species